AUGAAAUGGAGGGAUAAGGAAGAUGAAUUAACAUAUAUCUUUGAACAAGGUUAUAAACAUGGAUAUAGAAGGAAAGUAGUAGAAGGCCUUAUAAAGAAGAUUAGCGAAUACAUUGAAAACAAUAUGAAUACAAGAUCUCCCCUAGUAAUUUAGAUAGGACAUCAUUUGCCCAGGUCACUUAUUAUCGAUGUACGGAUAAAAUUCUUACAAGAGCGACAAAACACGCUAAUAGAAAAAUGGUAAGAAAGAGGGCACCUACAUUAUUUGAAUUACUCCAUAAUGACAAGGAUAAAAUAGAGAGAAAUGAAAAAGCUGGAAUAUAUGAUAUUCCAAUUCAUAAUAAUGAAGAAGGAAAAGUUCAGCACUACAUUGGUAGUACAACGAGAGGGUUAAGCAUGAGAAUUAAAGAACAUAAAAAAGAUAUUAGGACAGGGAAACUUAGCACA
rnacentral:lncRNA from 1 species